UAGACAAAAAAAUAAGAAUUAAAGAAAUUGAAGAAUAAAAUAAAGAAUAAGGGGAUAUGGCGAAAUUGGUAGACGCUACGGACUAAAAUCCGUCGACUUUUUAAAUCGUGAGGGUUCAAGUCCCUCUAUCCCCA
rnacentral:tRNA from 1 species